rnacentral:lncRNA from 1 species
UAGAGACUCACACGGAUUCAUGUCUUUUUUAUAGUAGAGUUACAUCUCAUUCAUUCAAUCAAUUUCCUUAACCACGGAAUAGUUUACAUAUGAAUAAAAAAAAGUUGAAGAGCAUAGAUUUUGUCACCGAGAAAGCAAAUUAUUUUUAUUUGUUUCAAUAUUCUUUACAAUUAAACCAUACACAGUGACAAUUACUAUUAGACACCAUUUUUAUUCAGUUUCUAAGUGUUAUUUGUUAUUACUCAUAUAAAUUAUGUCAAACAACAUGUUUUUACCCUCCAAAGUCAAUAUGUGACCUUUACACCUUGACGUGACAAUUCGUUCUGUGGACAAGAAAGAGCAAUUGAUGGUUAAUAUUUUUUUGUGAAAUUAGAUGCUAUUACAAAUUAGGACCUCAAGAAACACAUAUCUUUUGUUCAAUCCUUUAAACAGCUUUUACAAUAGAAGCCAUGAGAAGGUUUCAACAUUUUUCUUGAAAAAUUCAUGAAUGAAUAUGGUGAUUUAAUUCUUGGAGGUUACCUCUUUAUACAGAUUUGAGGGUUUUCCCCUUUCUAAGUCAUUGGAAUGGACAGAUGAUAUACCAAAGUUAUGCUCUAUUUUGCGAAGAUGUUGGUUAUGAAAUAUAUUGAUGUAAAAAUAGUUAUAUAAACCAUCGGAAACCCAGUGACCAUAUGUCAACAAUUACGAAUUACGGGAGGAAGAAGGGACGUUUACCAUAUAUCUUAGGAUAAUUAAACAACUUUACCCUCUUUGCUUAAGAAAUUUAUCUUUCUUUUUUGAAGACGAUAGGACAUUAAAAAAUCAAAAAAAAGCAAACAUUUGGAUUGUUUUUAAAUGAAAAGCAAAGACACACACGAGCUAGUUAUUGCUAAAGAUAAUAUGGAUACAAUUCAAUUUUGGACGAUGGACUUUUCAUAAUAAUCUAUUCAAGUUUUAAUGGAGUUGGAUAUCACCUUUUAUUAUCCAAUUGAUUUGUUUGCUGCUCAGUUUUGCGACCACGACAACUAUCGCCAACUUGUAGUAGACUCACUAAACAAUACAAAUGGAACCUAUUCUUAUGGCAAAUACCAUUUAUGUAACACAAUUGCUUUGAUAGAACUUCCUGAUAAAGUAGGCUCUACAUUUUUAAAUUAUAGUAUGAAUAAGGUUUAAUUCAUUUAUAGAAACAGAAGACUGUUGACUUAUCCACCAAGGAAUAUAAAAAUCUACGAAGAAAUCUACAAAUUAUUUUAAUCUUCCAAUU